GAAAUUUCAUUCGCACUAGCGAUAGCUAGUUUCUCUGGAAAGAUAUAAAAGUGUCGACGAGAAAGUAAUUAUAAGAUAGUAAUUAUUUUAUAAAAUAAUUCUCAGUUAAUUUUUUUGAGGAUAAGCUCGAAAAAUAGUUAAGAUAAAUGUUUUAAGGUUUGAGUUGUUAUGUGAGCUUAAGAUUGGCUAUCAUAAGAGUUUGUUACAAACCAGCGAUUUUACCGUAUAAAAUAAAUAUAUUUUAUUCUGUUUUUUUACAGAGAUAAAGGCACUAAUUAAAAAAGGCGUUAUACCUAUGCUAGGAUGAGUAUUAAAACUUUAUAUAUGGAUCGGAAAAGUCCUAAUUAUAUUCCGGCUAAAUAAUUAUUAAUUAAGCCAAAUUGAAUAGAAGGAACUCGGCAAAUUUAAUUGCUUCGCCUGUUUAGCAAAAACAUGGCUCUUUGCAUUUAUUUUAUAAGGAGUCAAGCCUGCCCAGUGAAAAAUUUUUAACGGCCGCGGUACUCUGACCGUGCAAAGGUAGCAUAAUCAUUU
rnacentral:rRNA from 1 species